rnacentral:rRNA from 1 species
CAGAGAGUUAGCCGGGGCUUCCUCCUCGAGUCCUGUCAUGAUCGUGCACUCGACGAAAGAGCUUUACAAGCGGCAUUGCCCUUCUUCACUCAUGCGAAAUUGCCGAAUCGGGCUUUCGCCCAUUGUCCAAGAUUCCCCACUUCUCGCCCCCCGUGGGAGUCCGGGCCGUGUCUCAAUCCCAGUGUGGCUGAUCAUCCGAAAAGCCAGCUAAGCAUCAUUGGCUUGGUCAGCCUUUACCUGACCAACUAACUAAUACUAUGCAGGCUCAUCAAACAGCGUCUUUUGAGUCUUUCUUCAGGUAUUUCGGCCCAGACUUGUUCGGCAGACUUCCCACGCGUUACGCACCCAUUUCGCCUACUUUGUUCUCAACUAUUCCGAUUCAGCAAACGG